rnacentral:rRNA from 1 species
UUGGAGGGCAAGUCUGGUGCCAGCAGCCGCGGUAAUUCCAGCUCCAAUAGCGUAUAUUAAAGUUGUUGCAGUUAAAAAGCUCGUAGUUGAAUUUCGGAAUCAAUUUGUUGGUCGUGCCUCGGUACGUACUGGUAUUAUUGGCUUCUACCUUCUGAAGAACCUUGAUGUCAUUAAUUUGGUGUCUUGGGGAAUCAGGACUGUUACUUUGAAAAAAUUAGAGUGUUUAAAGCAAGCAUACGCUUGAAUACAUUAGCAUGGAAUAAUGAAAUAGGACGUUUGAUUCUAUUUUGUUGGUUUCUAGGAUCGACGUAAUGAUUAAUAGGGAUAGUUGGGGGCAUUAGUGUUCAAUUGUCAGAGGUGAAAUUCUUGGAUUUAUUGAAGACUAACUACUGCGAAAGCAUUUGCCAAGGAUGUUUUCAUUAAUCAAGAACGAAAGUUAGGGGAUCGAAGACGAUCAGAUACCGUCGUAGUCUUAACCAUAAACUAUGCCGACUAGGGAUCGGAUGAUGUUAAUUUUUUAAUGACUCAUUCGGCGCCUUACGGGAAAC